AACGAACGCUGGCGGCAUGCCUAACACAUGCAAGUCGAACGAGACCUUCGGGUCUAGUGGCGCACGGGUGCGUAACGCGUGGGAACCUGCCCUUAGGUUCGGAAUAACUCCCCGAAAGGGGUGCUAAUACCGGAUAAUGUCUUCGGACCAAAGAUUGAUCGGCUUUGGAUGGGCCCGCGUUGGAUUAGCUAGUUGGUAGGGUAAAAGCCUACCAAGGCGACGAUCCAUAGCUGGUCUGAGAGGAUGAUCAGCCACACUGGGACUGAGACACGGCCCAGACUCCGACGGGAGGCAGCAGUGGGGAAUAAUGGACAAUGGGCGAAAGCCUGAUCCAGCAAUGCCGCGUGAGUGAUGAAGGCCUUAGGGUUGUAAAGCUCUUUUACCCGGGAUGAUAAGGACAGUACCGGGAGAAUAAGCUCCGGCUAACUCCGU
rnacentral:rRNA from 1 species